ACGCUCUUUUUCGUGGCGCCUCGGAGGCGGUAGGCUGCUUCAGGAUGAAGCUGAACAUCUCUUUCCCAGCUACUGGCUGCCAGAAACUCAUUGAAGUGGACGAUGAACACAAACUUCGUACCUUUUAUGAGAAGCGUAUGGCCACAGAAGUUGCUGCUGAUGCUCUGGGUGAAGAAUGGAAGGGUUAUGUGGUCCGAAUCAGUGGUGGCAAUGACAAACAGGGCUUCCCCAUGAAGCAAGGUGUCUUGACCCAUGGUCGUGUCCGCCUGCUGCUGAGUAAGGGGCAUUCCUGCUAUAGACCAAGGAGGACUGGAGAGAGAAAGCGCAAAUCUGUUCGGGGUUACAUUGUGGAUGCCAAUCUCAGUGUUCUCAACUUGGUCAUUGUAAAAAAAGGGGAGAAGGAUACUCCUGGACUCACUGAUACUACUGUGCCUCGUCGCCUGGGGCCCAAAAGAGCCAGCAGAAUCCGCAAACUUUUCAAUCUCUCUAAAGAAGAUGAUGUCCGCCAGUAUGUUGUGAGAAAGCCCCUAAACAAAGAAGGUAAAAAACCUAGAACCAAAGCGCCUAAGAUUCAGCGUCUUGUUACCCCACGUGUCCUCCAGCACAAACGGCGGCGUAUUGCUUUGAAGAACAUUCGAGAAGCAGAUGAUGGACCAAUUACCAAGUGGUUAAGAGCACAGAUGGCAAAGCUGGAGAGAAUGGACAUGAAUCCUGGCUCCCCCACUUACCGGAAUGUGAUCUUAUGUGACUUCUGUGCCUCUUUCUCCUCAUCUGUAAAAUGGGAAUAA